rnacentral:rRNA from 1 species
UACGGGGGGAGCAAGCGUUGUUCGGAUUUACUGGGCGUAAAGGGCGCGUAGGCGGCGUAACAAGUCACUUGUGAAAUCUCCGGGCUUAACUCGGAGCGGUCAAGUGAUACUGUUGUGCUAGAGUGCGGAAGGGGCUACUGGAAUUCUCGGUGUAGCGGUGAAAUGCGUAGAUAUCGAGAGGAACACCUGCGGCGAAGGCGGGUAGCUGGGCCGACACUGACGCUGAAGCGCGAAAGCUAGGGGAGCAAACAGG